AGUGAACGCUGGCGGUAGGCCUAACACAUGCAGGUCGAACGGCAGCACAGUAAGAGCUUGCUCUUACGGGUGGCGAGUGGCGGACGGGUGAGGAAUACAUCGGAACCUACUUUUUCGUGGGGGAUAACGUAGGGAAACUUACGCUAAUACCGCAUACGACCUACGGGUGAAAGCAGGGGAUCUUCGGACCUUGCGCGAUUGAAUGAGCCGAUGUCGGAUUAGCUAGUUGGCGGGGUAAAGGCCCACCAAGGCGACGAUCCGUAGCUGGUCUGAGAGGAUGAUCAGCCACACUGGAACUGAGACACGGUCCAGACUCCUACGGGAGGCAGCAGUGGGGAAUAUUGGACAAUGGGCGCAAGCCUGAUCCAGCCAUACCGCGUGGGUGAAGAAGGCCUUCGGGUUGUAAAGCCCUUUUGUUGGGAAAGAAAAGCAGCAGGUUAAUACCCCGCGGUUCUGACGGUACCCAAAGAAUAAGCACCGGCUAACUACGUG
rnacentral:rRNA from 1 species